UACGUAGGGCGCAAGCGUUGUCCGGAAUUAUUGGGCGUAAAGGGCUCGUAGGCGGUUUGUCGCGUCGGGAGUGAAAAACCUACAGCUUAACUGUGGGCUUGCUUUCGAUACGGGCAGACUUGAGGCAUGCAGGGGGAGAACGGAAUUCCUGGUGUAGCGGUGGAAAUGACGCAGAUAUCAGGAGGAACACCGGUGGCGAAGGCGGUUCUCUGGGCAUGUUCUGACGCUGAGGAGCGAAAGUGUGGGGAGCGAACAGG
rnacentral:rRNA from 1 species